rnacentral:lncRNA from 1 species
UCGCAACACUCAGAACCUACAUGAAUAUGGUUACUGUAUAAUUCAUCCUUUUGAUCCCUGUGUUUAGGAUGACUCAGGGUUAAACUGUCAACCCUGAUCAGAUCAUCCGAAUCGUGCUCAACUCAAACAGUCCUGUGACUCCUCACAAGGACUACCCUGGCCAAGAUUUUGCUAAAUUGAAACAUGAUUGUACACAGUUCCUAAACUGGAGUGGUCAAUCCCAUCUUGACACACGCACCGACAAGUCAAGUACUUGACUACACCCAGCAGCCUUCGUCACUGAAUUAGAAAUUCAGGUAGUCCAGUGCCUAAGUGCAGUGAGUUGCUUGCAAGUCACCGUGGCGGUCUC